rnacentral:lncRNA from 1 species
CCUUACCAAGGCAGUGAUGAUAUAUGCCUUCUCUCAAAAUAUGUAGUAUUUAUGGUAUGAGGCAUAAUGAUAUUGCCUUCUCUCUCACCCUACUCUAAUAAGGCUUUUGAUAUCUGGAGCUCAUAGGUGGGAGAUAAAGUAUACAUACUUACAAGACAUUUAUUGUAUAGUCAAACCAUGGAUCCAAAGAAACAAAUCAAUAAGCCAAAUCAAGAUGUGCAUGUGUGGCGAAUGAAUGGUGUAUGGUGAUGAUGGUGAUAACAAUGGUGAAAGUCUAAUUCUACUUUUGCUCUUUUGAGGGUAUACAUACCUUUCUUGCUUUUUGAAACUUUGUGAAGAGAAUGAGAUGCUCUUCUUUUUCUUUUCUCUCACGUGGGUAUCUUGUACCCCUAAUUCUACUGCCGGGCACUUGCCCCUUUUUAUUUCCUCGUAUCUUUCUUUUUUUUAGAGCACUCAUCUCUUGAGAUGGUAUGCAAGUGGUAGUAACAAGAUAACUUAAGCAUUUAUUUUACAAGGGAAAAAUAGAAAUAUUUUUGGCUAUUCUCUCCCGGAUCAAGAGUAGAAUAUUUUUAGGUGAUUCUGGAGAUGGAAAUGAGUGGAUAUAUGUGGAUGGUACUUCCGGAUUAGAAGCAGCAUAUGUGAGCGAACGUGCAGUGAAUCUUGAUUUAACCACAUGACAAGCUCUUAAGGGUCUACACAGCUUGACCACACUCAAUGCUCAUAAGCAGUAAAAAGUAAAUGUGUGGCUCAAAGUCUAGCAAGCAUGUAUAUAUGGCUGUGGUAGGAAUUUAAACUCUCAUCAUAUAGGAACUCAUCAUGCAACAUUUUAAUGAUUUUUAAAAGAUAAAAUUCUCCAGAAUUCUAGCAUCUCUAGGAACAGAAAAACAGCAGCUCAACCUUCCCAUAUCAUUUCCGUUAACAACUUAGACUUCAGAUCAAGUUUUCUUCCCACAAGUUUAGAUUUAGAGCAAGCUUUAAAUUAUAACAGUUAUGUCUAAACAUAGUGAGAGAACUCAAAUUUGAAAAUUAGGUAGAGCAACUAUUCAUCAUAUCCAUGCUAGAGUUUUAUCAUUAAGAUUUAGUUUAGCAUAGCCACUUUAUUUAUUUAUUAAGCAAACUAAGCAAAAGAUAUAUAUAUAUAUAUAUAUAAGUAUAUAUAAGCACAAAAUCUUUAUUUGUUUUUUCAUAGUUAUGUAUAUUUAUAUUUUAAUAUAGUAUAAGUAUAAAGAUAGAUAGAAAUACUUAGCGGGAUAAAUGGGGGUGCUCUCCCCCAAGGUGAAUUUUGACGUAAUUUCUUUUCAUGUAGCUAGCGGGUGGCAGAGGUGUAUUUGAAAGUCGGCAGUAUUCUGAAAGCGAUUAGAAUGUCCUCCGUCUACUAGUCUUCUUGAUUCUUAAAUUCUGUGGAGCUCAAAUAGACAACAAAGCUUGUGGAACUGAUUAAGUGUUACCAUAAAUAUCUAGCCUUUAUCAUGUUGAGCCUCCUCAAUAAAUGUUACUCCCUAUUUUUAUAUUUUCGUUUUAUAGAGCAGAAAAAAUAUUUUUAUGCCACCACAGUGAAUGUACUUAUGGGUUUUAUGCCACUCGUAUCCUCACAUGGGGCUUACUGUUUUUCACAUUUUUAUUUUCUUUUUAGGAUAGUAUGGACAUGAUUAACUAAGUAAACUAUUUGAAAUAAUUGAAAGGGAAAGGAUAACUACCAAGUUUAUCUCUUGGCAAGGCGUUCGGUGUUUUUAAGUCCUUCGAACGGGACUCUCCUCUUUCUCAAUUGUCCUAGGAUUCGUUGGGUGGCGUAGUCGGUACUUCCGGCGGCGUCUCUUCAUCAUGUAUAGUUAUCUUCUCUCUCCACACCUGACUUGGUGCUACGGUCUCCUCUGGAUAAUUCUGUUUAAACUGAAUGUCUUCUGACCUUAUCACUUCUCCUUCAUAGUCUGCCCAUCCGUCCUUGAUGAUUUGCCUCCUCUGGUUGUGGUUGCGUCGUUUUCUUACCUACUUAGAGUCUUCAACGAUAUAGUUAGGGUCAGUAAAAUAGCGGCGUACCUUCUCUGAGGGAAAGUGUAUAUGGACUUCUCCAGUUCCAAUGUAGAUAAUUGCUUUAACGGUGCUGAGGAACGUCUUCCAAGGAUGAUGGGUGGAUCGUAUUCGUCUUCUCCCAUGUCAAAAACCUGAAAGUCUGUGUACACAAAAUGAUCGUCUAUUUUGAGAGGGAUAUUGUGGGGGUAUAAAACCCUAUACCCUUACAGGAAGACUUGGGCCAGGAGGCUUGGCCAAUUACGAGACAAGUUCGAGGCUUGAUCCGACUGCUCGGAGUUUCGCGCAAGGAAACAGGAUGUGGAGAUCAAGCAGGAUUCUAGUCGGUUAGAAUAGGAAUUGAUAUCGAACUAUCUAUGGCAAUUGUAACCGACUAGGAUUAGUUUCCAGAUCUGUAACCCUGCUCUCCGGACUAUAUAAGGAGGGGCAAGGGACCCCCCCUAGGACACAUGAUUCUCUCGAUCCAAUACAAUCAGACGCAGGACGUAGGUAUUACGCCAACUCGGCGGCCGAACCUGGAUAAAAAGCUUGUCCGUGUCUUGCGUCACCAUCAAGUUCGUAGUUUGCGCACCGUCUACCGAUAAACUACUACCGUGGGUAUACCCCAAGGUAGACUGCCGACUAGCUUUCGUCGACAGUGGCGCGCCAGGUAGGGGGUGUGCGUACAACUUCUCCGGCGAACAAGAUGGUCAUAGUUCCAGCUUCCGCGGCCGUGCCUGAUGUAACAGAACCGUCCAAUUUAUAAGAAUUCAAGUGAAUUAGCGACCACGGAGGCAGUCAAGCCAAUGGACUUGAACCCAUAUAAACUCGGUAGUCCGACGAAAUCUCAAAAGACCUCGAUUCAACCAACAUACAACCAAGAUCGUACAUGAUCAAGCAUCACCAUCACAGAUUACAACAUCCAUCACAGAACAUCGUUUUACAUCACAUCAGAGUUUAAAGGAGGUUAUUACAAACCAUAGCAGUAGCGGAAACAAAGUAGUUUUGAAACAACACCAACUUAGUUUAUAAUACAUGCCAGUUCCAAGGUCAAGUCCCAACAAAAGCACAACUGAAGAUAAAGGAGGUGAUCACGCCCAUGAUCUACUCAUCAUCCGCAGCUGGGUGAUGACAGUUAGCGCAAUAGCCGUGAUAGACGACAUCAUCUGCAACAGGGGUAAAUAAAACCCUGAGUACGAGAAUGUACUCAGCUAGACUUACCCGUCAAAAACCAGAAAUAAAGUGACACCAAGGAGUAUGCAAGGCUGAUCUUUGUGGACUGGUUUGACUCAUCUUUUGCAUAAAAGCCUUUGUUAUAAGUAACUCAAUUAUCAAAUUUCAGCAGCAAGUUUAUUACUUAGCAACUAUCCACUAGAUUAGCACCUGUUCUAAGCAUACACUUGAGUAAUUAAGCAUUUCAAUAAUAACCAUAUCAGGAUCAUCACUUUGCUAUCAACAUUCUCAUCAUAACCAUUAAGUUCAUUUAGUGAAUUCUACGUUGCCGCUGCCCAAGUCAAGUUCUCACUAUCCGGGAGAGACGGCGAUUCGAAUCGAUUCCUAUCUAGCUGGAGGGGUAUUCCUAACACUCACCCAAGCAUACUUCAUGACGGCAGCUCGGAUCACCUUUAGCACAACUCCGGACCAAUUCGCGGGUCCGUACGGCCCCGCACCCCCAGGGACCGCCAAUCUGCCAGGGUCAGGACUCUAACCUGACACCUCGGUCUUACGCCAUUGACUCCCCGCACAUCCUUACUACCAACCGGGGUGCGCACUUUAACUAGAUCGGGGUAUCCGGCCGGAGUUGCAAUCGUAGGCUUCACGGUCGGAACGACUUAUCCGGCCAACUAAGUGAUAGGCAUGCGUUCAACAUGACACGGGGACGUACAGCGAUUCGGUCCUUAAACGACAUAGACGGGGAUAGAUUCACACCCAAGACCUCCAUGCCUUGUUGCUGCACUAUCGUCAUCCCGCCCGGUCUCAAAUUCAUUAUUAGCACAUGGUUAUUUCCACGAUAGCAAAUAUAGCCAACCGUGAUCAUCACCCACCUAACUCUCACAGGUGACAGGAAAUCACCCGGCUUCUACCGAGCUAAGCAUGGCUAAGCAUUACUUCGAUCCUGGACCUACUUUGGUAAUGUUUAAGGUGGACAAGGUAGUCAUUAUGCAGCAAGGGUGUCAUAUCAACGCCUACCACUUAAUGCAACAAUAUAUAACCAUAGUCAUUUGAUAGCUGAGUAUGAUAAUCAAAAUAGUAGGAGGCUUAUAAUGCUCCGGGGCUUGCCUUCAACGUAGGUGGAUGGACGAUGGUCGGGACACUCCGGCAGGUCUUCCUCCUCCUCAGCUCCUUGAGGUAGUUCCACUUGCUGUCCUUCCGGCUCCGGCAGCUCGAACUCCAGCACCGUCACUCCCUUGGGUACACCUAUGGAUGCAUGACAAGGAGAUGAAUAUAGGGAAUGCACAUAUGAUGCAUGAUGUCAUGAUGAAGAGCCAAAGGGACAUAAACAAGGUAUAACAUGAGCAUAAACUUCUAAGAAUAAGUGAGUCAUGGAAUAACAAGUAAAUGCAUACUUCUUUUCUGGUAGAGAGACUAAGUAGACCAGUUAAACAAGUCCUAGCUACUCUUACCCAGUCACUGGUUUAGUAGACAAACCAACCAGUCACAAGUUUCAGCUAUAACUCGAGUAUCACUUAACCAAUUUAAACAAUCCCAGCAUGAUUCCCAACCGAAAUAUGCUAAAACAUACAAAGUUGGCUGGCUGCUCUGGAAAUUCCAGAGAGCAAGCACUUUGUAGCAGCUACUUGAAAUAUGCAUAACUUUCAAACUACUCAACCAAAUGUCAUGAAAUUUGGACACGAAGUAGAUCAGUAAGUUAGCUACAACUUUGUUGCAGACAAGUUUCCCAGAAAACACAAUCUUCAAAUAGUUCUUAAUCAAUUGCUAUCAGCUGUACAUAAAUGCUCUAGGAAAGGCAAAAAUAGCUAAAAUAAUAUUUUGCACCUAUUAAGAAUGUAUCAAAGGAACAAUCCAAUUGCACCAGUAGAUAGAACAUGACUAAGAAACACUAGAAAACAUCAUGGCAAGGUCUAAAUUCAUUUCUAUCAUCACCUUUUUCAUUUAUUUAAUUAUGAAGGUGAUUUAAUGAACAUAUACUCCAAGUGUUCCAAAAAUCCUAAGAAAAUUACAGCAAGCUACUUAUGCUGACACAAGAUCACUGUAAAAUUUUCAGAACAUUUGCACAUACACAUUGUGAGGUAUAAAAACAACAAGCUAGUAUAGGCAUGCAUAGCAUAAAUGUGAAACCCUAUCAAAAAGUGUCAAACAAUAGAUUUCAGAUUUUUCCUUGCUUUGUCUACUCAUAAGUACAACACUCAGCAAGUUUCACCAUAAAAGGAGUUAUACUUUAAUUAUCAAAAAUACCACAAGAUUAUUUUAUUUAAUCAAGGAUUAAUUUUAACUUCUUAACCAAGCUUCCAAAAAUCAUGAAACAUUUAUCAGAUCCUAAUCAUAACAUAAGUAACAACUCCCUAAAUUUGCAAGGCCAGCAGAUCAACAGAUCUCAAGAUAUAAUUACCCACUGAAAAUCCAAGAUUAAUUUAUAUCUAUUUAUUUAUGCAAAAACAUGGCAUGUUUCAUAUUUUUAUUAAAAACUAGACUUCUGCUGGAACCUAGAAAAAUUGGAAUCACCACAUUUGGAUCUCUAAAACUCCAGAUAUGAAUUUUACAAAAACAGCUUUGGCUCUGCACAACAGUGAACCAGAGGGGGUGACACAGAGAGGCUGACAUCCGGGACCUACGCGUCAUUGAGACGGGGACAGGGGAGAUGCUCGUCGCCGGUUAAGCUCGACGACGACGAGGUCUCAGCCGGAUCUAAGGGCACCUACGUGUUCCUCUCAUCAAGGCGACUCUGUUGACCUACAUUACGCGCGCUCUACUAGACUCUAGGGUGCUCGCCGUCGGGAAUGGCGGAGCGGCGGCGCUGCGCGGCGGUACGCCGGCGGAUCCAGGCAAUGGCGACGCGGUAGAGGUUCACGCCGAGCAUCAGUGAACCAAGGGGAAGCGAUAGGAACAAGAAUGGAGGAAAAUGGUGGAGCAGAGAGGCUUGGCCACGUCGUCGGAGAGCUCGGGCGGAACUCCGGCGAGGAAGAACCGCUCGGAGCUCGGCAAUGCCGCCUUACCCGUGCUCGAGAGUGGCCAAGGAGGUGACGCCAAGGUAGAGGAGGCUCUGGCGAAGCUUUUGGUGGGCUGGCUUGGCCGGAGAUGGCGAGAAGAGCUCGGGCGACGCUGCCGUUCCACGGCAGAGCUCGCCGAGGCGAAGUGGAGAAGGGAGAGAGCGCUGGAGAGGCGAAAUGAGGACGGUCGGGGCUCGGGGUGGCGUCGUGGCGUCCAAGUGAAGGCGCCGGGGCUGACAGGCGGGGUCGCCGUCCACGUACGGCCGCCACGGGUCAUCCACGCGUCGGCCGGCCGGCGACUGACGAAACUGAAUCGCACGAUUCAGUCGUCGUCGGCCGUGUCUGAAACUCAAAGUUCACCGGCGUUUUACUCUCAGCUCACUCGAUGGUUUUGGCUCAAACUUGUUGCUUUGGACAGAGCUACACGAGUUCUACAACUUUGAUUACAAGAUCAAAGUCUAACUUGGUCUGGAUUUCAAACUACAAAGCUCCCAAUCAGCCCUGGUCGAAACUGCACGAUCCAACACUUAGCCAAAUUCGGCUAAGUAUGAAAUCAGCCCUGAUUUUUGGCUUGUGAGCAAUUUUUGGAUGUGUUCUAAGCUUUUUCAUAAAAAGUCAUCUACAUAACUUUUGUAGCUUAUGAAAUUCUCUACAACUUUGCUUCAGAUGUCAAAGACAUGCAAGGUCUCUAACACCAGUUUCAUAAAACAUCUUUAAAAAGAGGUCUAGGAGUCAAAAUAAGCCAUUUUAGGUUUAACACCUAACCUAGGGGCAUUUUUGGCCAAAACCUUCAACAUUGACUUUGCUCCAAAUGAUAUUCCAAACAUGAUUGAAGUAUUUUGGAAGACAAUGUACAUUUAUUUGCAUUGGUUACCCCUUAUAAUCACUCAAUUCAAUUCACACAAGCAAUUCAAUCAUACAUGGUAUGCAUAAGAUAACAUGUGGUCAUGAUAGAUGCUUAUGAAUGAGCAUGAUGAUGCUUAUGUUGAUGCAAUGCUCAUGGUUAACAUGCAAGCUAACACUAGGAGUGUUACACCUGAAGGCCUCACGUUCACCGUCGGCCAGAUCACGUGGACGACGCGCGGCGGUGGUCUCACGACCACGGUUUCGGAAGGAACCCAGAUCCAAUCUGGGAUGACGUCGGCUCCGACCACUCGGAUGACGGCACCGAGCGCCCGACCACCACUCCCGCACUACAAGGGGAAGAAGAUCGACUGCUCGGACCUUCUCCAAGCACUUGAUCGCGCUGAUUCCAAGCUACUUGAAGCUUCCCAACUAGUAGAUGGGAUCUUGCGCCAGCCCGAUCAAGCCGCUCUAACGGAUUCUUUCAACUCCCACUGGCCAACUCGUGUCGUUACACACGAACGGCUGGGAAUGUCUCUGACGAUAACCUCAACUCCGUCAGGACAAUCCGUCAAGCUCGAGGUUAACCCGAAGGAGGAUUAUCCUUGCGGUCUGAACAACUCGGCCUCUCUCUACUCACGGCACAUCCAAUCCCUUUUCAACAAGGCGGGUUGGCUGCCGAAACGGAACGGUCGACCAGCUCGUCACCACGUCAACAUGGUGACAAUCCGAGAACUACGAGACGGCCAGGCUUCCAGCACAAAUUUGAGCACUGGAUCUGUCCCCACCGAGGUCAUAAACUCUGAAGACGAGGACUACGACCUGGAUUUGCCUUCACAUCCUCCGGGCUUCUCUCGUUUCCCGGUCUUCCCACCCCGGUGAGGAGACAUUGUUUUCAAUGUCAGCGCCGACGAGCCGGUCGUCGAUGGAGAAACAGACGAGCAGAGGCAGCUCCGCGAGCAGCGUAACGCCGAUCGCGUCCGACGACGCGCGGACGAGGAACGUCAAAUCCCGCCGCAUAAUCUCAGCGAUGCUUUCGACAUGGUUGGGGAUCAGCCAGUUUAUAAAACGCCAAGCGCCAACGUGGCUGUCGCCAUGGCCAAUUUAGAUCGGCUCCCUGAUACUCCCGAGUGCCAGGAGGUCCGAACCAGCGUUCGAGCACAUCUGAUCGCCGCGAUGGGACAGACAGCCACUCUGCUCAAAAGAGUCCAAGCCAUCUCCUAUACGGAGGCCACCUCUGACCAGACUCACCGCAGCCGGACCUCACCGCAGCCCAGCAGGCACCACCGUAGCCGUUCCCCCGACAAUCAUUGAAAAGAUUCACGGCGUGACGAUGGCGGUCGGGAUGCUGGCGGUCACCGCGAGCAGAAUCGCAGGCGUGGUCAAGGAGUAAACCAGUACAGGGAUCUUCGAUACAACAUCCCUCCCAAAGACGCCCGGGACCGUAUCAACAGGCGCACCACGGAGAGAGCAGUUCACGAAAACUUGCGUCAUAUUGAGUACGAUGCAACGCACGGCCCCCGGGGCCUGAAGCACUUCUCUUCACACCUCCGCCAGGUCGUGUGGCCAUGAAAUUUCAAGCUUGAGAAACUCAAAAAAUACGACGGCAAGGAAAACCCAGAGAACUGGAUCACUCUUUACGAGAUCAUCGUCCGAUCAGCAGCAGGAGAUGAGCACGUCAUGGCCAACUACUUUCCAUUAGUCCUCGACCAGGCUGGUCACCAGUGGCUCCUAGGCCUGCCCGAGGACUCUUUCGACUCCUGGGAAGAACUACGCCAAGCCUUCAUCGCCACCUGCGAGUAGCCUGGGAACAAGUACGACCUCGAAAGGAUAAGGGAUAGGAAAAAUAAGCCUCUGCGCGACUACAUCCGACGAUUCUCGGAUAUGCGCCUAAAGAUCCCGAAGAUUUCCCACGACGAGGCUAUAUCUGCUUUCAUCAAGGGGCUACGUUUCCACGAAGCACUGAGAAACAAGCUACUGCGCAAAAGGCCAACAACGAUGACAGAGCUCCUAGCCACGGCCAAAAAUUAUGCCGACGCCGAUGACGCAGAAAAACUCAUCCGAGAUGACACCAGAGGUCCCGACCAGCCUUCUCGGCGUGACGACAGUCGCGACCGUUUUGACAACAUGAACCAUCGCCGCCCCGACAACCGGGACCACAGAGAAGGCUGGGACAGGCGCCGCGACAAUUGCGAUGAUUUCAGAGGCAAGCGCCCUCGCGAUCACGACCACGAGGUGAAUACGGUCAAGCGCCCCAAUGGACGGUGGGAUUACCAAGAAGACUACAACAAGACGUUGAAGGGACCAUGCCAACUGCAUCCAAAAUCCAACCACACCAUGGAAGAAUGCCGCGUCCUCAAAAGCAUCUAUACGCGACGAGCAGCUCAAGAUGAUCCCUCCAAGAAAAAUAGGAAACAAGACGGGCGCGAUCACGAAGACGAGGAUGAAGACAAGGAUAGGGACCCACGACACCAGUAUGUCAGUCCUACUGACGUGGUCCAUUUUAUCUUCGGAGGCAAGGUCUCCAUCGAGUCCAAACGAGAAAGAAAGCUCUUAAGGAGAGCCUGCCUCAACAUAGACAGCACUGAUGGCCUGAUCGCCGAUCCAAAAUUUCCUCCCUGGUCGCACAGGGAAAUCUCCUUUAGCAGGAAGGAUCAGUGGGCCGCUAUCCCGGAGCCAGGUCGUUUCCCUCUAAUCUUGGACACUUGCAUCAACAGCAUAAGAUUCGAGCGCGUGCUCGUGGACGGAGGAAGCUCCAUUGACAUCCUCUUCCGCAACAGCCUACCUGCUCUCAAGAUAUCUCCGGCACAAUUAAAACCCUACGAUGCUCAAUUCUGGCGAGUCUUGCCAGGUCAGAGUUCAGUGCCCCUCGGACAGAUAACAUUGCCUGUCCAAUUUGGCGCGCCCGACCACUUUCGAACAGAGUUCGUCAACUUUGUGGUCGCCGACUUCGAUGGGACCUACCACACUAUACUGGGCCGACCAUCGCUGACAAAGUUCAUGGUAGUCCCGCAUUACUCAUACCUGGUCCUCAAAAUGCCUACGGAGAAGGGUGUCCUAACCGUCAGAGGCAAUGUCUACACUGCAUAUACAUGCGAAGAGGAGAGCUUCAAAAUCACCGAAGCAAUUGAUCUCUCAAUACGCAUGGCAGAAACAGCAUCCCAAGCCACACAGCUACCUCCCGACCAGCUGCAACUACCCGAGCAGGAGACCGCCAGGAAGAAUUCAAAAUCCAAGGAGUAUAAAGAAGUACAACUGGUCGACGGCAGCCCCGAGAAGACGGCCCUCAUCGGGGCCAAUCUGGACCCCAAAUAGGAAGACGCGCUCGUCAGGUUUCUAAGGGACAACGUGAGCGUUUUCGCAUGGAAACCCGUAGACAUGCCUGGCGUCCCACGAAACCUGAUCGAGCACUCCUUAAACGUCUCGAAGACCGCAAGACCCAUCAAGCAAAAGCUGCGACGGUUCGCUCGUGACUAAAAGGAGGCUAUUAGGAGAGAAAUAACAUGGCUUCUAGCAGCCGGAUUUAUAAAAGAAGUGUAUCAUCCCGAUUGGCUUGCCAAUCCGGUUCUUGUACGCAAAAAGAAUAAUGAAUGGAGAAUGUGUGUUGAUUAUACUGAUCUCAAUAAACACUGUCCUAAAGAUCCUUUUGGUCUCCCUCGCAUCGACGGGGUGGUCGACUCAACGGCCGGAUGCGAACUCCUCUCCUUCUUAGACUGCUACUCUGGUUAUCACCAGAUCUCGCUAAAGGAAGACGAUCAGAUCAAAACGUCUUUCAUUACUCCUUUCGGCGCAUACUGCUACACGACCAUGUCAUUCGGACUCAAAAAUGCUGGAGCCACCUAUCAAAGGGCCAUCCAGCAAUGCCUCCACGACGAGAUUCGCGAUGACCUCGUCGAGGCCUAAAGAUGACGUCGUCGUUAAAACAAGGGAUGCAAGCACCCUAAUCGACAACUUAGACCGAACCUUUAAGGCGCUAAAUAGCUACAAGUUGAAGCUUAACCCCAAAAAGUGCAUCUUUGGUGUCCCUUCCGGUUUACUACUCGGCAACGUCGUCAGCCGCGACGGCAUACGGCCAAAUCCUUCAAAAGUAAAAGCAGUACUUGACAUGCGACCACCUAAGAAUGUUAAGGAUAUUCAGAAGCUCACCGGAUGUAUGGACGCUCUCUGCCGCUUCAUCUCAAGACUAGGAGAAAAAGGCCUCCCUUUCUUCAAACUCUUGAAGGCGUCAGAAAAAUUCUCCUGGACAGAAGAGGCUGACGCUGCGUUCACCCAGCUUAAGACUUUCCUCACUUCACUGCCUGUUCUCACAGCGCCUCAGCCCAAUGAAGACCUACUCCUUUACAUUGCUGCGACCGACAGGGUUGUUUCGACGGCAAUAGUGGUCGAGCGAGACGAGCCAGGUCAUGUCUACAAGGUCCAGAGACCCGUUUACUUCAUAAGCGAAGUCCUAAACGAGUCCAAGACCAGAUAUCCGCAAAUACAGAAGCUCAUAUACGCCAUUCUAAUAACAUCGAGAAAGCUAAAGAAUUACUUCGACGGCCAUCGAGUCUUGGUAACCACAAGUUUCCCUCUUGGGGAUAUUCUGCGCAAUAAAGACACCAACGACAGAAUUGUAAAAUGGGCAAUGGAAUUAUGCCCAUUCUCCCUGGAGUUCUAGAGCCACACCACAGUCAAGUCUCAGGCCCUGGUCGAUUUCAUCGCAGAGUGGACGGAUCUCAACGAGCCUCCCGUUCCCAAUGUCUCUGACCACUGGUCGAUGUUCUUCGACGGGUCCUUAAACAUCAACGACGCCGGCGCUGGGAUACUUUUCGUGUCGCCCAACAAGGACAAACUGCGUUACGUCCUUAGGAUCCUUUUUUCGGCAUCAAACAACGUCGCCGAGUACGAAGCAUGCCUUCACGGCAUACGAUUAGACGUUGAGUUGGGAGUCAAGCGCCUUUAUGUCUAUGGCGACUCCGCGUUAGUUAUCAACCAGCUCAACAAGGAAUGGGACGCAACCCACGAGAAGAUGGAUCUCUACUGCAAAGAAAUUCGCAAGUGGGAAGCCAACUUCUAUGGCACAGAGUACAUCCACGUGGUCCGGGACAAGAACCAGGCAGCAGAUGCGUUGUCAAAGUUAGGGUCAUCUCGGGCCUAGAUCCCGCGAGGUGUUUUUGUCCAGGAUAUCCAUGAGCCAAGCGUGGGCAAAGACCUGGCUGAAAAGCAACCUAUUGAGGCAAUGCUCAUAGACGACGUUACUCUGACAACCAGUAGCCGUGAUUGGCGCACCCCGUUCAUCAGAUAUAUAUCAGACGGGUCAGGCUUUCAGGAUAAAACAGAGAACGAGCGCCUCAUUCGACGAUCAAAGAAUUACAUACUGGUAGACGGCAAACUUAUGCGAAAAAUGCAAGUUCUGAAGUGCUACUCAAAUGCAUAUCUGAGGAUGAUGGCAUCAAGCUCCUAGACGACAUACAUGCCGGAUCCUGCGGCAAUCAUGCUGCCUCCAGAACACUGGUCGGGAAAGCUUUCCGAGCAGGUUUUUAUUGGCCAACCGCAGUCAACGACGCAGAAAAACUGGUCCGACACUGUGAGGGAUGUCAGUUCUUCGCUAAAAGGACCCACGUACCUGCUCAUGAGAUUCAAACUAUCCCAUCGUCCUGGCCUUUCGCCUGCUGGGGGCUCGACAUGAUCGGGCCAUUUAAACCGGCCCCUGGCAACUUCAAGUUCGUUUUCAUAUUAAUCGACAAGUUCUCAAAAUGGAUUGAAUACAUGCCACUGGUCAAAGCAACCUCCGAGAAGGCCGUGGAGUUCCUCAAUCAAAUCAUACACAGAUUCGGGAUCCCAAACAGUAUAAUCACCGACCUGGGUACUCAGUUCACUGGCACCACAUUUUGGGACUUCUGCGAUGACAGAGGCAUAGUCAUAAAAUACGUGUCAGUAGCUCACCCACGGGCAAAUGGCCAAGUUGAGCAUGCGAACGAAAUGAUUAUUGACGCCCUAGAGAAAAGGUUGUACACCGAGAACGACAGAGCACCUGGUCGAUGGAUGAAAGAGUUACCGGCUGUGGUCUGGGGUCUCCGAACUCAGGAUAGUCGGAACACGGGAGUGUCACCCUACUUCAUGGUUUAUGGCACCGAGGCAGUUCUGCUGUCUGAUAUAACCUUCGGUUCUCCUAGAAUUGAAAACUUCGACCAGUCAACAGCCGACAACGCCAGGGAGCUCGAAAUUAACUGCAUGGAAGAAAAGCGUCUAAAUUCAUGUCUCCGAACAACAAAGUAUCUUGCAGCAAUCAGGCGGUACCACAACAGGAACGUCAAGGACCAUUCUUUCAUGGUCGGCAAUCUGGUACUCAGAUGGAAAACGGACCAGGAAGGAAUGCACAAGCUAUCCACCCCCUGGGAAGGACCCUUCGUGGUCGCCGAAGUCACACGACCCACAUCCUACAGAUUGGCAUAUCCAGACGGAACACACGUGCCUAACUCUUGGCACAUAGACAAACUGCGCCGAUUUUAUCCAUAAGUUUAGUAACUUUUGCUUGUAAGUCUCUCAUAGUUGGUAAUAAUAAAAGUUUUUUCUUUAUGGCUAUACUUUGUUUACACGCAGAGCUUUCGGCGAAGAGCAACAAUGUCCUCUGCGACGGAAACUCUUAACGACUAUGAAUCAAACACAGUGACACGUCACUCAGAUAACUUUACAGCGCCCAAAAUAACAGUCAUGACAAAAGCAAACUUUAUUACGAACUUUACAUACAAAGUUUACAAUAAAUAGCCUGACGGGCGGUCACUAGUCUACUCCUACAGACUACCCUACUGGCCUACUGCUCAGGCUGAUCACCCGCCUGGCCUUGCUGCCCGGACGAAGGGGUCGGGGCCACCGGCGCCUGGCUGGUCGAGACCGCAGGCGUGGACCGCCCAUCUCUAGCAACAGACGCCCCCGACAACUCCCUGGCCGACCUGUCUGAACCCGGCUAGUCGGGGGGAGUGGCCGUCCCGCAUAGAUUAAUGUCGCCGAUCACCGUCGACGAUAAGUCCAGCAGACCGGCCCGAAGCUCGUCCGCCUCCUGCGGGCCGACCUCCUUGGGAUACCCCUUCUCCAGCCUAGACAAGUCAACCAUGGGGUAGUGGGUGUGCACCAUGCUGAGAAUAUGCACGCCAACGAACUCCCCGGCGUCCUUCACGAACUGCUGGAGCCAAUCCCAGGCCCGUUGUGCCUUUUCGACAGGCGUCAGCUUUGGCGCGCGGGGCUGGCUUUCUGGAAGCUCGGUGCUGAUCAAGUCCAGGACCGGGGAUACUCCUUUCUAGAGCCUAAUACAAUUAGUCUUCCUGGAGUCCCGAUCCUUGACCUGCUCGUCUAAGUGCUUCUUGGUAUUCACCUUAAGCACUGCAAAUCAAGGAAUAGGUCAGCACAAUGAAAAGAACGUUGAGCAGCUAUAAAGAAGGGUGGCGGCACGGCUACUUACCAAACAACUCCCGAUUCCUCUGGCCCAGCUCCUCGCCUGCUCGGCGCCCGGUUUCCAGUGCCCCGGCAAGCUCUUGUCCGAGCUGCUCCUUCUCCUACCGAAGGCGCGCCACCUCCUCCUCCAAGCCUACAUGAAUAAUCUUUUGGUCAGCAAAAGUCAACCAACGCGGCUACAAACAGCUGCCUCGGAGUACGAGACUGACCUUCUCGCUGCCGAUACUGGUCGGCCAAGCGUCGAGUAAGCUCGAGACGGUGCUCUUCCUGAGCGCUCGUCUCGGCCACCUUCUCUCCAACUUCUGACCGAAGCCGGUCCACCUCCGUGGCCAGGGUUUUGUUCUCGGCCACAAUGCCUUCUAUUUGGUCAAAGCACCUCUUCCGGUACUUCGCCGUUUUCAUUGUGCCCUGCAAGAAAGAGUAUAUGUUGAACACAGGAAAACUGCACAUAGUUGUCGAGCAGCACACAGGACCACUUACCUUAACCUCGUCCACGAGACGCUUAGCUGCGCGUUCCACCCUCGCGGCCUCCUCCGUCUCCGUGAGCUCCUCGUGUCCAAUAAAGUGGUCCCCGCGUUGGUGCCACACAUAGACGUGCUGGCGACCAUCAUGGGGAUGACCCUGGACCUCCUCCACGUCAUCGUCAUAGGCCUCCUAGGGCUCCUCGUGUGCCGCAGUGCCCACGGCUGCAGUCGAGGGCAUCAUGGGUCCCUGGUCUAGGCCAGGGGAACCUACGAGCGAAGAGGCCCCUGCUCGGGCCGGUGUCGGGGCCCUCGCUUCUUCGGCUGGAGGAGUCGGGACUCUGCCUUCCUCCUCCGCAACAGUACUCGGGGGAGGGGUCCUUGUCGCCUUCUCACCCAUCGGCGGAGUGCUCGCCGCGGCACUCGCCGGGGCGGUUUGUCUGUCAGCGCCUGUAGUGGCGGCCGCCGCCGCAGGCUGCCCUGUGGCCUGCGGCGCGGCGUCCUCAACGGCGGCAGCAGGCUCGGCUGUCCCCUGCUCCACGACUAGGUCGGGGUUGACGUUCGACGCCGCGCUGAGCAAUGAAGCGAAAUUUUCAACAACAGUAAAAAAAAUGCCAAAAUACGUAAGUUGAACACUUACAGGUCUGAUCGACGGUGGGUCGCGGUGAACUUCCUCCUGGCCCUGCCGGUCGGCGCCGGUGCCCCCGUUUCUGCGACGCGUGGUGCAGGAGGGUCGCUGGCCACCCGAUCAGUGGUGGCCGGCGUAUUGUCCGAACGGCUACGAGGCCUUCGGACCAGCGACGGUGCGGCCUCCUCCUCCUCAUCAUCGUCGUCAGUGAUCCGGACGAGCCGACGGCGUUUUGGCGCCUGGCUGCUGUCGGCGCAGGUGAAGGAUCUGCUGCCAAUGGCCUCUUCCCAGUCACUCGGUCCUCGGUGGUCGAGGCGGGACGGGCUUGCUCCUCUUCACUGCUGGUGUACCGAGUACACCGAGCAGCGUCCUCCUCCGGCAGAUCCUCCCCUGCGGGAUUUUCCAUCCCAGGCGCCAGUGACACAUACACUGUGCACCGGUCAACAUCUCCGAUCUACAAAAUUAACACGGACAAGUCAGCAGCUGACAAUAAGAAACGCUAAGAAGGCACAAUCAGGAAGAAGCGAUACCUUAGGAGCUGGUCGUCCCAGCUUGAAAGCUUGCACCCGAUCACUACCUCGGAUGAAGCUCCCGUCAGCAAAGUUGAACAGCUCGUUCAACAACUGCUGCACCUCUGCCUUCUCCAAGAUCUCAGGUGUCAUCCUGGUCGGGUCUUGGCUUCCAGCAUACUCGUACGCCGAGUGCACCCUCUUCUGGCAGGGCAUCACCCGACGACAAACGAAGUUGCCGACCACACCCAACCCGUCCAAACGCGACCAGUCGAUCAGUUUCAUCAGGUCCGCUACUUGGCCGGUGAACUCUGGGCGGUCGGUCAAACUGACCCUCUUCUCGGGGAUGUACCCCAGGUCGCAGAACGUGGAGCUGCCCGGUUCUUCCCUGACAUAGAACCACUUCCUGUACCAUUCGGUUAGGGAAGUGUUCCAUGGGCAGCUCAGAUAAUGGUUCUUCAUCCCGUCACGAAGAUUGAGGUAUACUCCACCUGCAAUCUUGGAGCCUCCAACCGCUCCCUUCUUCCUCAAACAGAAAAGAUAACAAAAAAGAUCGAAGUACGGCUCUAUGCCAACAUAGGCCUCGCAAAGAUGGAUAAAGGUGGAGAUGAGAUGGAUGGAGUUCGGGUGCAGAUUGCAAAUCCCGAUCUCAUAGUACAAGAGAAGCCCCUGAAGAAAAGGAUGAACAAGAACCCCCAAACCCCUCUUUACGAAAUCCUCGAAUACUACGAUCUCACCGGCGCGGGGGUCGGGGUAGCUCUCCCCCUCUGGCGCCCUCCAGCCGCCGAGCUCUGGGCUGUGCAGUAGCCCCAUAUCGACGAGGUCGCCAAGGGACUUCGAAGUGCUGCGGGAUUUCUUCCAUUCCUUGUCCAUCAGCUCGGCCCUCUUCUUGGAGCUGCUCUUCGCCAUUGGAGAUGCGGGAGUGGUUGCGAGCUAGGAGGGUCCAGGUGAUUGUAGAAGGCAAGAGCGGAAGGCGUGAAGACAAUGGCAGGGUGAGCAAUGCGGGGUAACUGUCGGGAUUUUAUAAACCACAACUCCACCCCUCCCACUUCCCGCAUUCUUGGGAAGUGGGCGGGACCAAUGGCGGACGCGGCGUUUCGGUUUCCAAAGAUUAUCGGCAAUUAAUGCGGCGGCAUUUUCGUACAAAUUGAUGGUUUCUUUUUCUCAAACCCCGCAAAGGGCGGCUGCACAGUUGCCAGGCGCAGCUUUUCACGCAACCAUCUGACAUUACGCAAGAAGGUCUCGUCACGUCAAUUAAUUAUGUGGUAAGAUUUUUUCAAAAUAAAACAGACAAAAAUUAGAGGAAAGGUCAACAACUCAAGGACUGCUCCGACCACCGAGCACUGUAUGCUCAGGGACUGGUCGCCCAGUCUAUCAACUCGGUAAUUCAAGGACUGCACCGACCACCGAGCACUGCAUGCUCGGGGACUAGUCGCCCAGCCUAUCAACUCGGUAAUUCAAGGACUGUACCGAGCACUGCAUGCUUGGGGACUGGUCGCCCAGUCUAUCAACUCGAUAAUUCAAGGACUGCACCGACCACCGAGCACUGCAUGCUCGGGGACUGGUCGCCCAGUCUAUUAAUUCGGAAAUUCAGGGACUGCACCGACCACCGAUCACUUGAUGCUCGGGGACUGGUCGCCCAAUCUGUUAGUUCAGAAAUCUGUGGGCUGUAUCGAUCUCCGAGCAUUGUACACUCGGGGACUGGUUGACCAGCUCGUCAAAUUGAUAAGCCUAUCUUAUAGUAAAUGGACAUGAGACGCUCGGGGACUGGACAAUUUUAAUUUUUUAGACCUUGCUACAAGGUUCAUACUUCGCCUUCUAGCAAGCUCGGGGACUACAUCGGUACGAUGCAUCUGGCAAUGCAUCUUAGAUUCAAAGUUACUUUGAGGAUUUUUCUUUUGACCCUAGCACCACGUGCCUACAUCACCUACUACCAGGCUCGGGGACUAAGUGGGCACACUUCACCUUGCGGUGAAUAUGCUUUCUUUUUUGAAGAUCUGUACUUUUCGGAAAAGUAAAGUGGGCACACUUCACCGGAAAAGAAAUAUUUUUUCUCAAGAGCACCAUGUAUUCUUCGAACAAUUGGCUUCUUCGGUGAUAAUGUUGAUCAACUGUCUUUUGAGUUGGUCAAAAUACCGUUACAACUGUUUGGACGACUUUCAUGCUAAUCGAAGAUGUCAAGCCUUGCUGAUCGAAGAAGCUCAAGACGGCGUGUUACAUCACAAUACAUGGUGCUCGGGGACUAAUUGUGGGGGUAUAAACCCCUAUACCGUUACGGCAAGACUUGGGCCAGGAGGCUUGGCCCAUUACAAGACAAGUUUGAGGCCUGAUCCGACUGCUCGGAGUUUUGCGCAAGGAAACAGGACGUGGAGAUCAAGCAGGAUUCUAGUCGGUUAGAAUAGGAAUUGAUAUCGAACUAUCUAUGGCAAUUGUAACCGACUAGGAUUAGUUUCCAGAUCUGUAACCCUGCUCUCCGGACUAUAUAAGGAGGGGCAAGGGACCCCCCUAGGACACAUGAUUAUCUCGAUCCAAUACAAUCAGACGCAGGACGUAGGUAUUACGCCAACUCGGCGGCCGAACCUGGAUAAAAAGCUUGUCCGUGUCUUGCGUCACCAUCAAGUUCGUAGUUUGCGCACCGUCUACCGAUAAACUACUACCGUGGGUAUACCCCAAGGUAGACUGCCGACUAGCUUUCAUCGACAGAUAUCAGUUACUAUUCCUUUAACUUCUCGAAACGUCUGAUCUGCCAUCUGGAGCUGAAUGUAUGUUGGUUUUAGGGGCAUGGUUCCGAACAAAAGUCGAUAGGUGACUGCGGCCAUUAUGUUGACGCCCGAUCCUGUGUCGCAAGUCAUCUUAUAGAAGUUGUAUCCAUUUAUGGAGCAAUAGAUGCUUGGCAUUCCUAGGUCGACCUUCUUGGUCAAAAAUGGUGACUUAACUUGUUGAUCUUGGCCUCCAUGAACUGCAGUGACCAUCUUAGCUGACUCGGUCCACACUUUCUUAUUCCUGUUCCUCCUGUUGGUCCUCUUCCUUGAUUCACGUCUAGAUUGAUCUGGGAUUUGUGUAGUCUUGUUCUUGAAGCAAAACGUCUCCUUCUUCCCUUUGAUGUAGAAACUGAUCUUGGCAGCACUAGCGUAGAUGACAGCUCCCGAGGUGUUCAAGAAUAGCCUCCCUAAGAUGAUGGGUGCCCUCUCAUCAUUACCGGUCUCUAUCACCACGAAGUCUGCUGGGGCGUACAAGGUACCAACAUAGACACUAAGGUUCUUCAAUAUUCCUUUUGGAAAACUUAUCGCCUGAUCUGCAAACUGCAAACACAUGGUUGUUUCUAAUAAAGGAUAUGUAAAGAAUUUUUCAUAGAGUACCCUGGGCAUAAUGUUGACACUAGAGCCAAAGUCACUCUGUUGACACUAGAGCCAAAGUCGCAGAGUGCUUCUGGGACGUCCACCAUGCCGAUGGAGAUCAGGAUGACGGGGCGUCCUGGAUCGCCUCUCUUGACCGGCAGAAGGUCAGUAGUGAAUUCAGUGACAUGGUUAUUCCAAUUACCUACAUCAAACAUGUCUACAAGAUUUGCAGAUUCUAAUCCUUCCAGGUGUGAUGGUAUACCUGGGUUAGUAGUAGGAACAGCAGCAGCUAUUUGAUCUAACUGAGAUUCAAUCAUUUUAUUAAAGCUAAUUUGAUUCUUGAUGGCAGUAGAGAAAUUAUCCAUUCUAUUAUUUAUAUUUUCUAACAUUUUAUCAUUUGAUGCCAAUUUCUUAGAUAGGUUAUCCAUUAGCUUUCCUUGAUUAGACACUAACUCUCCCAGAGGUGGAAAAUUAUUAUUAUUGUUGUAAGAAUUGUUACCUUGAUAAUUACUUGAGUAGUUAGGCCUCUCUUGAUUCCAACCUUGAUUUUGUUGAGGACGGUUACAGUAGUAGUUGUUGUUGUUGUUGAUGUAGUUUACAUCCUCAAGCAUCUCAGGGCAGUGAUUGCCUGAGUGUCCAGUAUCUCCACACUCCUCACAAGUCAUGUGAGAGUCGUAGAUGUUCAUAACUUCCUUCUUAUCUCUAGCUCUAUCGUCAAGCUUCUUCGUGAGCAGGUCUAGCUUUGUAGACAGCAUGUCUACCUCCUUGAGCUGAUGCAUACCUCCACCUCUCUUGCGUGUCUGGGUCCUCUCCUCAUUCCAACCUUGAUUGGAUGCCAUCUUCUACACAAGAGCUGUGGCUUGUGAUAUUGUAAGUGAUAAGAAUGCUCCUCCAGCUGCAGCAUACAUGGUCUCUCGGGCACCGUUGCCGAGCCCAUGAUAAAACGUCUGCAUUAGUAGCCAACUCUCCAUUCCAUGAUGGGGACAUUCUAGGAUGUAGUCUUGGAAGCGCUCCCAUGCUUCUGAAACGGAUUCAUCAUUUUGUUGCUGAAAACUUGUAAUCUUCCCACAGAGAGCAUUGGUCUUGCCCAUGGGAAAGAACUUAGCCAGGAAGUUUGUUGAGCAGAGUGCCCACGUAGUAUUCUUCUCCUUUGUAGCGUAGAACCACUGCUUCGCUCUUCCUAACAGUGAGAAUGGGAAGAGGCAAAGUAGUAUAGCAUCUCUGGGGACUCUUGAUAUGGUAAAUGUGUUGCAAAUCUCCAGGAAGUGUUGGAGAUGAGCACUAGCAUCUUCGUGUGCCUUCCCACAAAACUGGUUGGAUUGCACCAUGUUGAUAAGUCCAGGCUUGAGCUCAAAGUUGCCGUCGAUCUCUGCAGCAGGUCCAGUGCGGAUGUUGUCCGCAGUGGGAGCUGAGAACUCGCAGAUUGAUUUGUUCGCCAUGGCUUCAAACUCUGAAGACAAGUUCUGGUGAUCUUCUUGAUUGGAUGAAGCUUCUUUCUGAAGUGUUCAUGAUCUCUUCUUGAGCUUGGCUCUAGUUUUUCUGAAGAAUGCUUCGGGAUUGUCAAAAAAAUUUCCUGGAAGAUGUCUUCUAUUCAUACAUUCCCCUCCAUAAGAUAAAACAGAAAAAUAUCGGGGUAAAACUGUAUGAAAGAAUUGAUAAGCUCAAUCGUAUUAGUGAUGUGAAUGAUGACUUGAAAAUCUAUAUCCAUUCCUGAUUAGUAAUCAACCUUCCUCGGCAACGGCGCCAAAAAUGCUUGUUGGGUAUUCUUAACAUCAUUACCAAAAGUAGACACUUUUCUAAUUCUAGUAACGGUGCCAAAAAUGCCAAACCUAUCCCUCAUACCACUUAAGCCAAGUUGUCAUCCCCAGCAUGACAUGAGAGACGCGGUAUUGAAAUAUGCAAUUGCUCUUCUAAAUAAAUAAUGAACGGGAUCUGCAAGCGCACAGAUUAAUACCGAUGUAGCAUUUUAACCGAGAAGUAUUCCAGGUAUCGUUAUUUAUAUUUUUACCACUGGGAAGGGAUUAACAAUCAUCAAUAUUGAUUACAGAAUAGAAUAAGAGAUUGAGUAUCUAUCAUUCCAUAUAUAAUUGAGAACAUUUAUCUAACUCUUUCAUACAGGGGUAAGUGUCACAUAAAGGAUAUAUAAAGUAAUGAAUAGUGACAAAGAUAAUUAGUCUGAUUAGCAUAACUUAGCCACAUAAUAAAUAUGAUAAGCACCUCAAUUAGAUAUUCUAGAAAGUCAUUAGCAUAGUAUUAGAAAGAACUACAAGAAUAUUUCUUGUGUUAUUCUCAACUAUAUAGUCUAGCAUUAUCGUAGUUAGUGCAAGCAUACUUAGCAAUCAUUGCAAGACAAGACUACGCCCAUGCAUAGUGAUAUUAGAAAGGUAAAUGAGAAACAUAGCAAUCACUCCCCUGUAAUAAUAUUGCUCUGCCAGCCCAAUACACAAGAGGGGGACUAUAUAAGAAUCAAUGAAGCUGUCACUAUCACGAACUACCCCACGAUCUGGCAUAUUGGGUACAAUCGCAGAUAAAUACGGUAUAAGCACCAUGCCUACACAAUAUCUGUCAUUUACCCAUGGAUCUGAUGGAUAAACGCUAUACGAUCCUAAGCAUGUAUAUAGAUCCAAUCUAACUAAGCCAAGUAUAUAACUAUGAUAAACUAAGAACAAUAUAAUCUUGAAUAUAAACAAGUAGAGCAAAGUCAUAAGCAAUAUAUUGAAGUAGAACAAAGUCAUAUUCAUAAUAUUGAAGAACAAAGAUGAUUAGAAGAACAAUUAGAAGAACAAUUAGAGAAUUACCAAGAAUCCUCUUAACAGAUCCGGAAACCAAUCGAAGAUUGACUCCUUCUAGUUCUAAUCCAAUGUAGCUAUACUAAUCUAGAUGUCUAAUUGAUGUGGUGGCUCUAGGCUUGAUCAGAGGCUUCUCCCCUAAGGAAUAAUGAAUUAGGGUUGAGAGACUCUCUCCUCCAGGGGCCAGGGGGUCUGGUUUUAGAGUCCCUUCAAGUGAAUAUGGGCCGUUGGAUCAAACCGACAUUGAUUGAACAGUUAUCCUUGAUCCUUUAGGUCGGUGGAGAUUAGUCCCGAAAGAGAGUCCUAAUCCAACUCAGAGAGGGGGCGGGCACCCAGGUGAACAUCGGCCUUCGCUUCCUUCCCGUGCCUUCUGGAGUCUUCUAGAUGUAAGAUAAUUGCACGGCACGUUGAUAUCUCUAUGUAAUCCCGACAUGUGGGCCUUUCUUCCGUAUUCCCUAAUAACCCCUGCAGAAAUAGACAAACACCAAAACUUGUGGAAUUCUGUCAGAUAAAACCCUAAGUCUGGAUAUUGGUUUUAUUUGGAUCCUUUUCUUUGUUUAUUUGAUAAUUAAAUUUGAUACUUAAGGACCGUCAACAGCUGGCUCCAUUGCACCUUGUACCAUUUGGUAGUUGUCCUUCGGGUAACUCUAUCCCUUUGGUCCAAUACUCGGAUAGGAUACUCUGCAUAAGUUAGAUCUGGUUCAAGUUCUACAUCUUCAAUAUCUUGAACCUGGUCUGGUACUCAAAGACACUUUUUCUGUUGAGAUACAUGAACUACAUUGUGUAUCUCGAAUAAUCGUUCGGGUAAUUUAAGGCGGUAAGCUACCUGUCCACACCGGUCAAUGAUUGGAAAUGGACCAAUGUAACAAGGUGCUAGCUUGCCUUUAACCCCGAAAUGAUUCACUCCUUUCAUCGGGGAUACUUUUAGAUACACAUGGUCACCCUUGGCGAACUUUAAGGGUCGACGUCUUUUAUCGGUAUAACUUUUCUGUCGGGACUGAGCAAUCUUCAAGUUAUUUUGAAUUUGUCUAACUUUGUUCUCAGUUUCUUUCACUAAGUCAACCCCAAAGAACCAUCUUUCUCCGGGUUCAGACCAAUGUAGUGGAGUCCGAGAUCGAUAGCCAUAUAGUGCCUCGAAGGGAGCCAUCUUAAUACUUUUUUGGUAGCUAUUGUUGUAGGAGAACUCUGCUAGAGGCAAGCAGUCAUCCCACUUAUCUGGAAAAUUUAGGGCACAAGAUCUCAAUAGAUCUUCUAGGGUUUGAUUCACCCUUUCUGUUUGCCCACCUGUUUGAGGGUGGUAGGCUGUAUUGUAUAAAAGCUUGGUGCCCAAAGAUUCAUGUAAGCAUUUCCAAAACUGGGAGACAAAUUGUGUGCCUCUAUCUGAUACUAUGGUCUUUGGCACCCCAUGCAGACUCAGUAUAUGAUCAAAAUAUGUUUUGGCAUAGGUGGAAGUCUAAUAUGAUGUCUUUACGGGUAAGAAGUGUGCUAUUUUAGUGAGACGGUCCACAAUGACCCAAAUAGAAUCAAAACCUUUUGCCAUCUUGGGUAAUCCCACUAUGAAAUCCAUACUAAUAUCAUCCCAUUUCCAUGCUGGAAUAGGCAAGGGUUGCAACUCUCCAGCGGAUUUGAGAUGAAUAGCUUUGACCUUUCGGCACGUGUCACAUUGGGCCACAUAGCGGGCUAUUUCUAUCUUCAUUUUCGUCCACCAAAACCUUUGCUUCAGGUCCUGAUACAUUUUAUUGCUCCCCGGAUGAAUAGAAUAUCUGGUGGUAUGAGCUUCAUCCAGGAUUUGCUGACGUAGCUCAGGUACCUUUGGAACCACUAACCGGUUUUUGAACCAGAUUACUCCUGCAUCAUCCACUUUAAAGUCUGUGGGUGUUCUGUUAGAAAUUUUCUCUUUAAGAUAUUUCAUGCCUUUGUCUUCUUUUUGUGCCUCUAUGAUUUGAGCUUCAAGAUUGAAAUCAAUCUUUAUAUUGGCAAGGCUUCUUUGGGAAAUCAUUUCUAUCCCCAAGUUCUCUAGCUCUUAGCACAAAGUUAUAUCUUUAGGCGUCACUGUUAAGCAAUUACAGUGGGCCUUACGACUGAGGGCAUCAGCUACUACAUUUGCCUUGCCAGGGUGAUAAUGCACCUCAAGAUCGUAAUCUUUAAUCAAUUCUAGCCACCUUCUCUGGCACAUAUUAAGUUCAGCUUGAGUGAAGAUGUACUUCAAGCUCUUGUGAUCUGUGUAUAGGUGACAAGUGUUCCCCAACAGAUAAUGGCACCAGAUCUUCAAAGCAUGCACUACGGCGGCUAGUUCAAGAUCAUGGGUCGGGUAAUUCUCUUCAUGUGGUUUAAGCUGCCUGGAAGCAUAUGCAAUUACUCGACCCUCCUGCAUUAGCACAGAGCCUAUCCCUAUUCUUGAUGCGUCACAACACACAUCAAAGGGUUUUUCAAUAUCUGGCUGGGCUAAGACAGGUGCAGUUGUUAAUAACCUUUUUAGAGUUUGGAAGGCCAGCUCACAUUCAGAUGACCAAACAAAAUUUGUUUGAUUCUUGAGCAAGGUCGUGAUUGGCUUAGCGACUCUUGAAAAGUCCGGGAUAAAGCGGCGGUAAUAUCCCGCCAUACCCAGAAAACUACGGACCUCAUGUACCGUAGUCGGGGGCUUCCAAUUCAAAACAUCUUCUACUUUACCUGAGUCUACAGCGACUCCCUCCGCUAAUAAUUCAUGACCCAGGAAAUGGACCUUGUCUAGCUAGAACUCACAUUUGCUAAACUUGGCAUAUAGUUGAUGCUCCCUGAGACGGGUCAGCACAAUCCUCAGAUGUUCAGCAUGCUCUUUCUUGGAUUUGGAAUAGAUCAAGAUGUCAUCAAUGAAGACGACCACGAAUUUUUCCUGCUCUGGCAUGAAGACAGAGUUCAUCAAACACAUGAAAUGGGCUGGUGCGUUGGUCAGCCCAAAGGACAUCACCAAGUAUUCAUACAGCCCAUAACGGGAUGUAAAAGCCAUCUUGGGUACAUCUUCCGGCUUGAUUUUGAUUUGGUGGUAUCCCGAUCUCAAAUCAAUCUUUGAGAAUACUUUAGCCCCGGCUAACUGGUCAAACAGCAUGUCAAUACGGGGCAGGGGGUACUUGUUUUUAAUCGUCACCUCGUUUAAGGGACGAUAAUCGACACACACCCUUAGUGUUUGAUCUUUCUCUUUCACAAAUAAGGCUCGGCAACAUCAUGGAGAUGAACUGGGCUGAAUAAAACCUUUUUGCAACAACUCUUGUAAUUGGGUUUUCAAUUCGGCCAGUUCUUUUGGUGCCAUUCGAUAGGCUCUUCGAGAUAUUGGGGCUGUCCCUAGUUUCAAUUCUAUGCUGAACUGGACAUCCCGGUCUGGUGGCAGACCUGGUAGGUCCUCAGGAAAUACAUCUGGAAAAUCCCGAACUACUGGGAUAUUUUUGACUUCCGUCACAUUAGUGGCAUGAACUUGCCCAAUUGCCCGUUUGGGAGUAGCUAAUUGGAUCAGAAGGUAACAAUUCUCAUUGAGCAAUGGGACCUUAAUGGUUCGAUGUAAGGUGUCUAGCACAACCCCUCGUUGUGCCAUCUAGUUCAUGCCUAGUAUGACAUCAAUGUCCUGAUCUUCAAGGACAAUCAUACUAGUGGGAAAACUAUGCCCACCAAACUCGAUGGGUAUCUGAUGAACCAUUCCUUUAGAACUCAGCCGUCCUCCUGGCGACUGUAUAUAAAAAUGAUCUUUUGUUUCCCCAAUGGGUAUGCCAUGCUUCAUCACAAAUGUACGGUUGAUGAAUGUAUGAGAUGCACCAGAAUAAAAAAGCAUUAAGGCAGGAUGUUUUGCAACAGGGAACAUACCCAUCAUUACCGGUUCUCCUUCCAGUAUUGUUUCCACCUCUGUAUGGAAGACUUGUCCCACUUUCUUUAUAGGUUUACCCUUUUGUGCAUUCUGUCCUUUCUGAGCCCCAUUUUUGAAUUGGCUCGGCUGGGGUUGGCCAAUGGGUGGCCUUUGGAAAGUGGGGUUAUUUUGUCGAGGGUAGGGGCAUUCUUUAGAAAAAUGCCCAGGCUUACCACAAUUGUAGCAAGGAUAAUUGUGGUUUGGCGGAGCAAUAGGACGAACACCUGGGCGUUCGGCUGGUGUGGUGCAGUGGUGACAGCAGUCGGUCGAGGAUAGACCUGCUGCCCGGGUCUAUACUAUGAAGGGGGAAAGGGACCACGAAAAGGUGACGGCGUUGGAAAGCGUCCAUGGCCCUGUGGGUGAUAAAUGAUCCUCUGGCGCUUUUGACCACGAUCAGAGAAGGAGGAAGAAGCGGCCUUCUUCUUUGCUUCUUUGUGUUUUCUAUUCUUUUCUUCCGAGGCGAUGGCAAUAUUAACCACCUCGUAGAAAGAAUCAUUUUGACAUGUGGUCAUCAUAGUCUGAAGCUUUGUAUUGAGACCACGCAUAAAACAGACCUUCUUCUUUUUAUCUGUGUUCACAUGGUCCAUGGCAUACUGAGAAAGAUGAUUAAAUUUGGCCACGUAUUCCAUCACACUUUUAUCGCCUUGCUGCAAGGCAAGGGAUUCUUCCGCUUUCAUGGCCAUAAGCCCUUCUGGAAUAUAAUGGGCGCGAAACGCGUCCUUAAAUUCCGCCCAGGUGUCCUAGAUUUUGGAUAGCGAGGAAAUUUUCCCACCAGGCCCCCGCAGCUCCGCGAAGCUGUUGGGCUACGAACAGGGGCUUUUGAGUCUCCGAACAGCAGAUCAGGCUGAACUUAUGCUCCAUUGUCCGGUGCCAGUUGUCAGCCUCUAAAGGCUCAUCAGCCUUGGUGAACACUGGUGGCCUUGUCUCGGUAAAAUCCACAUACCGAGUUUCUCCCUCCCCAUUGUGUUGUGCUCUGAAGUUUGGGGCGGGGUGUGGUUGGCGCUGCGCUAGUUCGCGCAACAGGCGAGCAUUGUCAGUAGUGGCACUCAAAAGAACAGCAAUUGCAUCGGCUAGGGAAGGUGGAGCAGGUGGAGGGUGAGGUAUGUCCUCCCCUCCAUGAGAAGACCCCGUGUUGACGGUCCUUAAGUAUCAAAUUUAAUUAUCAAAUAAAUAAAGAAAAGGAUCCAAAUGAAAUCAACAUCUAGACUUAGGGUUUUAUCUGACAGAAUUCCACGAGUUCUGGUGUUUAUCUAUUUCUGCAGGGGGUUAUCAGGAAAUAUGGAAGAAAGGCCCACAUGUCGGGAUUACGUAAAGAUAUUAACGUGCUGCGCAAUUAUCUUACAUCUAGAAGACUCCAGAAGCCACGAGACCGAAGCGGAGGCGAAACGGGGCCAGAGGCAGGGCGCCCGCCCUGUCCUACUGGGCGCCCGCCCCCUCCAGGAGUCCAAUCAGGACUCUGCUUUGCGGGAGUUCUCCACCUACCUAAAGGAUGAAUCUAAACCAUACAAUCUAUGUCGGUUUGAUCCAAUGGCCCAUAUUCACUUGAAGGGACUAUAAAACCAGACCCCCUGGCCCCUGGAGGAGAGAGCCUCUCAACCAUAAUUCAUUGUUCCAUCAAGGUAGAAGAAGCCUCUGAUCAAGAUUAGAGCCACCACAUCAAUUAGAUAUCUAGAUUAGCAUAGCUACAUAGGAUUAGAACUAGAAGGAGUUAAUCUUCGAUUGGUUUCCGGAUCUAUCAAGAGGAUUCUUGGUAAUUCUCUAAUUGUGCUUCUAAUUGCUUUCUAAUUAUCUUUGUUCUUCAAUAUUAUGAAUAUGACUUUGUUCUACUUCAAUAUAUUGCUUAUGACUUUGCUCUACUUGCUUAUAUUCAAGAUUAUAUUGUUCUUAGUUUAUCAUAGUUAUGUACUUGGCUUAGUUAGAUUGGAUCUAUAUACAUGCUUAGGAUCGUAUAGCGUUUAUCCAUCGGAUCCAUGGGUAAAUGAUAGAUAUUGUGUAGGCGUGGUGCUUAUACCGUAUUUAUCUGCGAUUGUACCCAAUAUGCCAGAUCGUGGGGUGGUUCGUGAUAGUGACAGCUUCAUUGAUUCUUAUAUAGUCCCCCUCUCGUGUAUUGGGCUGGCAGAGCAACAUUAUUACAGGGAAGUGAUUGCUAUGUUUCUCAUAUUCCUUGCUAAUAUCACUAUGCAUGGGCGUAGUCUUGUCUCACAAUGAUUGCUAAGUAUGCUUGCACUAACUAUGAUAAUGCUAGACUAUAUAGUUGAGAAUAACUUAGGGAAUAUUCUUGUAGUUCGUUCUAAUACCAUGCUAAUGGCUUUCUAGAGUAUCUAAUUGAGGUGCUUAUCAUAUUUAUUAUGUGGCUAGAUCAGAGUAGUUAUCCUUGUCACUAUUAUUAUUUCAUAUAUCUUUUAUGUGACACUUAUCCCUGUAUGAGAAGUUAGAUAUAAUGUUCUCAAUUAUACAUGCAAUGAUAGAUGCUCAAUCUCAUAUUCUAUUCUGUAAUCAUUAGUGAUGAUUUCUAAUCCCUUCCCAGUGGUAAAAAUAUAAAUAACGAUACCUGGAAUACUUCCCGGUUAAAAUGCUACAUCGGUAUUAAUCUGUGCGCUCCAUCAGAUCCACGUGUGCGUAUCAGCAUCUGCUACAAGAAUUACAUGUACUCGUUACCACUUGGAACCCAUAACUUAAAAACAUAUUUUACAUACUUCAAUUUAUUUAUCAAACAUCAGUUCGGCACACUGGAAUCAAACGAGUACAACUUCUUGAACUUAAUAAAAAAAACAUUAUACUACAGACCCGAGCCCACUACGGUAAACUAGGAAUCCUAUAACGACGUUACCCGCAACUUCACCGAACUAGUCGGUGUGGUCAGAGCCGUAGCCCGGGUCGUCGUUGUUAUCGCCAUGGUCAUCCCCCGGGUUGUCGUUGCCGGAGUCGGAUUCCUCUUCGUCACUGGGUUCUUGGUCGGGCUCUCCAUCAUCUGCCAACUCUCCGUCAGUGUCCAUCUCCCCUUCACCUGGAGGUGGAUGAAGCUGAUGGUAUAAGUCGAAUGCAAUAUCACGGUACUGCAUUGCCAUGUCGUUGACGGUGUCCAGAUGAUGCGCCAUCUCGAGCUUCUCCAGCUGCAGCUGAUCCUCCCGCUACCAUGCGACGUCCCUCUAUGCCUUGACAGUGGCCGCCAUCUUUAUGUACAGAUCUGUAGUGUACUUGCUUUUGGUCAGCUUGGCCUUCAUUCUGGUCAGCUCGUGCAUAUGUGCGCUCCUGGCCUCCUCUUCUCGAGCAAUAGCGGCAUUUCUUUCUUCCACCAUGCGGGAUAGCAUCGCCUCGCAAUUCUCGGUGGCUUGUUUUUGUUUUGUUAGUUGAGCUUUAAGUUCACCAAUCUCCAUGACAUUAUACAUCCUUUCCCUCGUUACUUCGGUCAACUCUACUGACAACCUUUUCAUUUUCUGCUGAGAUGGGGAACGGCUACUGCUAGCUUGAUCGCUUCGCGGGGCCAAGUGGUGUCGAGGCACCCCUUUGGACCAGUUCUCUUGUGAGGAGUCUGCUUCCAAUGACCCAUCCAGUAGAGGGUAAGUUUGGAUUAGUAAGGGAGACCUUAAAGGUUAGCAAGAAUGGGAUUGAUUCUAUACAACCUAACCCAAAUAAGGAGGAAGGAAUUUAACCAAGUGACAUAUCAUGAUGCAUGCACGUACUUACGAUUCGUACUAGAAAUUCAUAACAAUAUCACUUAAAACUUUUACAACAUAGGGCGAUACUUUAUGUUGCUCCUCCACACGACCUCAAAAAUUCUAGCAAAGCCUACAGACAAUGGUAAGGUAGGACUGAAGCAUUUGGACUCAAAAUAGGCAAGUUUAUAAUAUUGGAUCCAAAUGGAUUUGAAGGUUUUCAAAGGAUACAACAGUCAUCUUAGCAACAAAUGCUCCGAUACCAGCUGUGGCAGAACCUCCUAAGUGUUUGGGCCCACCGACACCUGUCAUUGUCCUAAGGACCUCUGACGGUGAUGUCGGGGACCCUCCCACUCUCGAAGUCCGAUGAGCAUCCCAGGACGCCCAUUCCACCGAUACCUGUGGUGGCAUAUCAAACAAGCUCGUCCUGACCACUAGCGAUGGUCAAUUAACGAGAAUUUCUUCUUCUGACCUUUACAAGAUAGCAAGUGGCCACCUUAACACCAGGAUCAUUCGUUGCGAAGACAUUGCAGUGUCACAGACGACAUAUGACCAAAAUAAUAUUUCAGAGUAAAACAGCGGAAGCAUUACGUAACUUAAUUUACAAAAGGAGUUCUUCCAAGUAGUAGAGUGUUAUUACAAGCCAGGUCCAGCAGAGCAACAUAAACUUUAGUACACAAAUUACAAAUUUACAGACCCUGCCCAUGGGUCACGCUCACUCUUCCUCGUCGUCAACCUCGACGACGGUCACACAGCAGGGUUCGAAACAUGUUUGGCUCCUAAGCUUCACCUGCAACAGGGGUUAUAAAACCCUGAGUACGGGAGUACUCAACAAGACUUACCCGGCAGAAAAAGAGGAGAAAAUAGGAAUGCAGGCUUGGGGUAGACAAGGAGUGGCUGAGCAAGGAGCCAAAUUGUUUUGCCAAAAAGCUUACUAAUAGUGCAUCCUUACUUUCAAGUUUUACCCACGAAUUCCUCUCCUUAAGAGGUCGAGGAGUUCGAGGACAGUCUAUCUAGUUGCUUCUCACAGACAAGUCUGUAAGUUCCUAGUCCUUAAUCCAAGUAUUAUCUAUCCAAUGGCCAUAGCUUCAUGUCACUCUGAGUCCAGGAAUUGGGAUCCGAACCACAUGAGACAUUUCCCCCUUUCUCAUUUUAUCACUUAGUUGCAUAUUUGUCUACGAUGAGGGUUAGUGGAUUGAGUCUCCCAAUCGGGGAGCAACGACGAUUCGAGUCGCUUAGCAAUCCAGCUGGAGUUCCUAACCACCCGACAUAUGUAGAACCAAAUCUUGCAUAUAUCAACCCAAAUCUAGCUCUCCCCAAAUUUGACCGGGUUCACGGCACCCGAGAGCACACUACCCCACCAUCCAGCCCAUUUGCCAGGAGGGUACACGCUACUCUCGCCAUCACUCCAUGCCUAGUGCGCGAGUAGCCGUUCGCGUCGAUGGAUCACAAGACUGGGCUUACCGGGGGCAAGUGGCUAGUACUAUAAAUUCUCAACCCAGCUGGCCACCAACGGACCGGUCCUUAAUCGACACGGUCGGAGACACUACUUUAAGACUCCAUUCUUAAAGCAAGUCCACCGACCGGUCUCAAGUUGAAAAUCAUUGACCAUAAGAGUAUUCCACAACAACCCUUCAAACUUUCUUGUUUGAAAACCUAUCUAGUAGCAGGGCUAAGCAUCACUACACAGUUUUAAAAAUAAAACAGGUACCAAGGACAAGAUAAGAAAUAUCAAGGUAGUAAAUGCAGCAAGUUGGUUAACCCAAUUCUCGACUACCUAAUGCAGCAUUUUCAAUUCAUAAGUGAUAAAAGAUUUAAAACAUUCAAGGAGGGGUUAAUGCAUCCGGGGCUUGCCUUGGUUGCAGAGCUAAGAGGGACCCUCAGAGACUUCCCAAGUCUCAGAUCCUAAUACCUCGAACGGAGCACCGACCUCGGGGUUCGGUUGAACGGUCGCUCCUUCGGUCACGUGCACUACACGUAAAAUGAUGUAUGCUCAUGAUAUGCAUAUGACAGAUAUUUAAGAAGGACCGAGUUGAGUACAAGUUUCCUUCUUGGUGCAAAAACAGGCUAAACAGUCAUUAUAGUUGUUUAUCAUUUUAGUGUUUUUACCCAAGAGGUUGCAUCAGUAAACUAAGGUUUUUCUUAAUUUAUAAUUAUUCUUACUUAACUAAUUAAUAAACUCAUUUAUCUUAAUUAAUCCUUAAUUAAGCAUUAAUGAGAGUAAUUAAGUAUUAACAUCAAACAAUAAUUAAGUGCCCAAGGUCAUUAAGGUCAAUGACCUUAGGUCAUCAUAUAAUCCCAAAUCACUCAAAUCCUAAUUUUGAGAAUUUAAACUAAUUAUCACUUAACUAUUCUAGGACUAUUAUUAAAUCACUAAUUAAAGGUAUAUUAAUAUUUUAUUCAAACCUUAUCCAAAUGCCACCAAAUUUUGUGUGAAGCUAGGGAAUAAUACUCAGAGACCUCUCACAACUUUUGGUGAUUUUUGAACAUACCCAUAAAUUAUUAAAAUUCAUGCAAGUUCUAUUUAUUACUUGAAGAGUACAAUUUUUAGAUACAUGCAAACUACCACAAAAUGGAAUCUAGUAUUUUUCCUGUGUUCUACUCGUUUUAUAGAACCUACACAAAAAUUUCCAUAAUUUUUGGAUCAGCACAUGAUUUAUUAUACCAAAUCAAACAUACAUUAAAUUUUGCACAAAAAGAAAAGGGAGAAGUCACUGUGCAGCGAGCGGCCCAGGAACUCGCGUGGUCGCUGACGGGCGGGUCCUGCCCGUCAGUCCCUUCUUCCUCCUCUCGCCACGGCUCCGGCGAGCUCAAGCACGCCAUCGGCGAGCUCUCUGCCUUCGCGGUAGGGCGUGCUAGCUUCCCCAGUACCACGCGCACCCAUUGUCACCCUUUUUGGAUGCUCUCCCAUCCGCUAACCCCUACGGCCGUGUCCAUGGCGGACAGCGACCUCGGUCACGCGACCGCUGGCUGCUAUAAGCGAAAAGAGCACAAACCGAGGGGCACACAAGCACCAGCAGCUCACCGUGACUUCGAGGAGCUACUCUGCGGCGUCAGCGAGGGUUGGAGGAGGGCUGGCCACGGGAAGUGUUCACGGCGGCGAUUCCGGCCAGAGUCGGAGGAGAACGGCUCGGUUGCGGGCUACGAGGGAUUAGAGCUUGUGCUAGGGAGCGCAAACGGUUGCUGAGUUCUUGGCGGAGUUGUUGGUGCGCCCGGGUGGCUUGGAAAGGGAGCGAGGAAGGCAAAUUUGGUGGGCGGAGUGAGCUCGUCAGCGUCGGGAAGUUUUUCGACGGCGGCUCGAGGUUUUAUCCUCGCGACGCAAUGCUUGCUGCGGAUGAGGACACCAGGGCGACGCCCAGCAAGCAAGCAGCUGCGUGGCCAGGCGCGUGGCGGCGCUGGACGCAGCAGCUCUGCCCCGGCGGCAGUGCAUCCCCCCUGCUCGAGCACUGUAGCAAGCCAUAUCCCAUUUAUUUUGUUGUUUUGCAAAAUUCGACCAAAAUUUGAACUAAAGUCCGAAAUCUGUUAAAACAAAAGUUGUGCAGAAUUUUACAAGCUACAAAACAUAUUUUGGUGUCCAAAGCUGAUUCUAAGUGAAAAAUGGUGAAUUUGACAAAACAGUUUGAAUUUCAAAUCUCAAAUUGGGGAAAUUCCAAUUUUAAAUUUGACCAUAGAAGAAUUCCAAAAUUACUUUUGAUUUUCCAUAACAACUUGAAAAAUUCCCAACAUGAAAGUUAUUCAACUUUUUGAGCUCUACAACUUUCAUGUUGGUCACUUUUCAAGAUUCCAAAUAGAUUUUGAAUUGGGGAUUCAAAUUGGAAAGGGGGACACUUUCUGGAAAUCUGUAUUUUCAAAAUUACUUUGAAUUUUGUAUUGAAACUUCAAAAACUCAAAACACCAAAGUUGUACAUCUUGACAAGAUAUACAACUUUGCUUUUGAACUGAACCUCAAAUUUUGCUUAGUUUUUAAAUUGUACAAAAGGGGCAAAUCUAGGGUUUUAAAAUCAGGGUUUUUCCACCCUAUUUUCUCGGAAACCUUCCACCCUAGGAAUUUCACAACCACACUAGCUUCAAUACACCUUGCAAACACACUUUAAUUCCCUAAGCACAAGCAAUCAAAAUAAACUUGUUUUAAUUUGAUGCAUCAAGUGGUGCUUAAUCAAUAUACGGUGCAAUGCUCAUGAUGACAUGAUCCAGUUUUAAUAACCGUGACAUCGGGGAUGUUACAGCGGUUAAGUCUGGAGACUUCACAAAGCAUCUUGCCGAUCUACAAAAACUGCUGGAGUGCACAAGGAAACAUGGUUUAAAGAUGAAUCCUAAUAAAUGUGCAUUUGGCGUAUCGGCAGGACAAUUUCUUGGUUUCAUGGUGCAUUAGAGAGGGAUUGAAAUUAGUAGGAGAUCUAUUGAUGCCAUUAACAAGAUAGUUUCUCCCACCAAUAAGACUGAACUUCAAUCACUGAUCAGAAUUUGUAUGGGGGAGAGAACAACAAUUAGCAUCGGAUGAAAUAAAGAAUUAUUUGACAAAUCCUCCAGUUCUGAUUCCACCUCAACAAGGAAAGCCUUUCAGAUUAUAUUUGUCUACCGAUGGGAUUGUCAUCGGUUCGGCUUUAAUUCAAGAAUUUGAAGGGAAGGAACGUGUGAUUUAUUAUCUAAGUAGGAGAUUGGUGGAUGCUGAAACAAGGUAUUCGGUAGUUGAGAAAUUGUGCUUAUGCCUAUAUUUCUCAUGCAUCAAAUUAAGACACUACUUGCCAUCGGCCGAAUGCACUGUUAUAUGCAAAGAUGAUGUAGUCCGGUACAUGCUAUCUAUGCCAAUUAUGAGUGGUAGAAUCGGCAAGUGUAUUUUGGCGUCCUCAGAAUUUGAUCUACGUUAUGAAUCGGCUAAGGCAGUAAAAGGGUAGAUUAUGGUUGAUUUUGUAACUCAACAUUGCGGUGUAAUGAAUGCCUUCGAAAUUGUUUCUUGGACGCUCUUCUUUGAUGGAUCGACAUAUGACCGGGGGCAGGAAUUGGCAUUGUAACACCGUAGGUGUUAAGCAUGCACUUAGUCUCAUAAACCCUCUCAUAAGCAUUCUCAUGAAGCAUAAGCAUAGCAUCACAUAAGCAUAGUAGUAUUUCAAGUGUGAUUUUAUAUGCUUAAUUUAGAUGAAUUAAAUAUGACAAAAAAAUAGUAUGCUUGCUUCCAAAAUUCUUGUGAUGACCAAAGUAGGUUGAGAUAUGUUUUAGGAAAAUUAAGGGCAAUUUUGUGAAAUUUUUAGAGCUAUAGGAAUUGAGAAAUGGAUUUUAUACAAAAAUCCCCAAAACGAAUCUAUUUAAAAACCUAGAAAUAGUUUUAAUUUGUGAUUCAAUUUCUGUUUGGAAUUUGAAUUUGCAUCUUAAGCAAAGUUGUAGAGAAUUUUGUGGGGAAAAAUUCUUCUUUUUACUUCAACCCCUGAAAAAGUUUGCAAAGGCUUCAAAAAUGGUGUUUAAGCUUUUUGGGAAAAAGAAUUCAAAAAAAUGGAGAAGGGAAAGGGGGGCGCUAGCAGGCCGCGGCCUCGCUUUUGGCCCGCUGGCCGAAGCCGGCCCAGCCCGCCCACGCGUCACCCCCCUCCCCGCGCCCGCGCUAGCGCCGCGUCCACGCGCGCGCGACACCGUGGCACGCCGGCAGCGUUCGGCCGCCGUGUGGCGCGGAUGCGGCGACUUGGACGCACCCUGGUCGGCCACUGUUGAUGUUUGGUAAUGCAAUCAGGAAUUAAUCCGCAAGCGCACGGAUAUCGGUGAGCACUUUACCCGGGAUGUUAUCCAGAGUAUCGUAUUUAUGUUUUUACCACUAGGAGAAAGCGUGCAUCUGACUAACAAGGUCUAUUACUACUAACCUUUAGGCUACAACCACUAUGACUCGAUUUGAGUGAUGUAUAGAGAAGACUUCAACUACACCCUCGUUCUAACCUUGGUAUGGAUGAUCUACUAUUCUAUUGGGGAGGCUCACGGAAUCUAGACAACACAGAGGAUGUUCGACCCGCACCUAUAAACCCUAUCGAUCCUGCUAACGGUAUUAUGGGCUACAAAGGUAACUUGGAAAUGUCACGUUCCUCGCUACUACCACGGUCCGGCAAGACAGGGGGUAUCUAUGAGUAUCCUAGCCCAAACAUCACGUUUACGCUAGAGAUGAUUACUCUAAACUUUACGCGAAGAGAUCAAAGUAAGCUCAUAAACCAAAGAACAAUAAAACAAAGAACUUACUAGAAUUUAGAAGUCGAAAUACUGAAGAAUGCUAGGAGCAAGCCUCGGGUUAGGAGACUUGAUCCCGCAGGUACAUCCUCGGAGUAGACACCAACAGGUCGGACUUCCUCCAAUCUACACCUGCACUCUAUCUCUCUCAAUCUAGUAGAACUAAUUCUACUCUCACAUUGGAUGCUAAGCCCUAUGAGGUUGGAACCCUAAAGGAACCUCUCUCUCUGAAUCCUCUCUGGAAAAUAUGCUAAUGAAUAAUGGGGAUUGAUUUCUCUAGGGUCUAGGGGCCUUGCUUAUAUAGCCCUCUCAAAUGAAUCUGGGCCAUCGGAUCAAACCAACCUUGAUUGAACGGUUCUGCUUGAUCCUCAAAGGCGGUGGAGCAUAAUCCGCGAGACUCGUGCUGAUUGGCAAGCAGAGGAGGGAGGGCGCCCAGGGGGACUGGGCGGGCGCCCUGCCUGUAGGCCCGCUCGGCCUCCCGCUCGUUCGUGUGGCUUCUGGAACCUUCUAGACCGAGGAAAAUUGGCGGAAAAGUUAAUAUCUCUAUGUAAACCCGAUGGGUGGGCCUUUCUUCCAUAUUUCCUGAUAACCCUAUGCAGAAAUAGAUAAACAACAAAACUCGUGGAAUUCUGUCACAUCAAACCCUAAUUCUAGGUGUUGUUUGUAUAUUAGUCCUUUUCCUUAUUUAUUUCAUGAUUAAAAUUGAUACUUAAGAACCGUCAACAAACACCGCCAUACUUAGGCUUUCACUCGUCCUCGAGAAGAGGAUGGUUUAGAAAAAUAUCCGAAGUUAAAACAUUAUAAAGCAUUCUCUUCAUACCUGCAAGGUGUUGUAAAAAAUCCACUGUGUACAGUAGUCAGGGAAAUAUAUGGUCAAUAGUAGAGGUCAUUUCUUCUCAAUCCUGUCACUUGGAGUUUUUUUGUAUAUUUUUUUUGAAAAAAUAAAUUUAGCAUACCUUUAUCCUCAUAGGUUCUCUCAGAUCGCUCAUUUAUCUUUUGUAUAUCUCAGUGAGGCUGUUUUAAUUUGCAGAAAUUCUCAAGCAUACUUACCUUGAAUUUAUUGCCUAAUCAAAACGGAAUCCGAGGAGAGGAAUGUCAUACUAUUAGAUCAAAGACUUUGGAAAUUAAAAACUUGUCAACUCUUACUGGCAUAUUGCUUAUUAGAGGGACCAUGGGCUAUCAUUUUCUUUCUCUUCUUCUCUCUUCUUUUUUUCUGGUGGAUACCGAGGUACCCCUAAUUCUACUGCCGGACACUUGUCCAUUUUUUCUGCGAGGCUGUCGAGCACUUGCUCCUUUUUAUUUCCUCAAAAUAUUCAUAUUUUUGCAUAGCCCAUGCCUCUAAUGCAAUAAUACUUCAAAUUAGUGAAUCUUUCUGAAUAAAUGUCUUUAUCUUAGGAGCAUGAUAAAUCUCUCAACAAGGGUCUAACUCGUUUUGAUCAAACUCAAUACAGAGCAGAUAGCUUUUAUAAUUAUCAUAAUUAAUAUUUUUAGGUUUAGUAGGCAUACAAAACACUAAGGAUGGUAGCUAGAAUUUUUUGAAGAUUUUAAAAUAAAUUCUCCAAGCACAAACGAUAUCGAUAAUAAGGUACUCAUACUCUACAUUCCAUAGUGACUUAAGUAACACAGGGUUUUUAAAUAAUUUUUUAUAAUUGCAAGAUUUUAGGAAAUAUCACAGAGUGAGAUUGAUCAUGAUUAGAAACACUUUAAUCUUGUUAAUUUAUCAUGUCGGAGACAAUAUUCUGCACGAACCAAGAUAUAUGUGUGUUGGGUAUUUUAAACGCAAACAGAAAAAAUCCGCAAGCGCACGGAUACCGAUGUAGCUUUCACCCGGGAGUAUUCCAGAGUAUCGAUUUUCCAUUGAGAACGUGAGUGUACUAAUUAAGAUUCAAGAUCGCCAAGGAUAACUAUAUAAUUAUUUUUGGUGGGAAGAGAGGAAGUUUCCUAAGAGUUCUCUAGUUGAUCUAAGAAUCAAGAAUUACUUCAAGAUUAUUUAUUUUGGGACAUCAGAACACUAACCACUGAAAGAGAUGAGAAGGGGGCUAGGAAGCUCUGACUACGGUCCUACAAACACCGAUCCGAACGAGGUGGAAUAUGUCGACCGUUAGGGCUGUCACUACCCUAGGGCUACCACAACAAUCCGCAAGAUUGGGUGCAAUUUUAGGUAAUUGCAAGACUAAACACCACGUCUAAUCUAUUAAUUACUACUCUAGCGUUAUAAAGACUAGAGCACUUGAUGCAAGCGGGAAUUCAAUAAAUAACUUGAAUGUAAAUAAAAGUAAUUAAAGAACUCAGGAAUUAUGAAUUGAGGAACUUGGAGAACGAUGAAGAACGAACCAGUUGCUGCAAAAGUAUAAUGUUGUGGAAGAUCCGACAGAUCCGGCUCCUCCUCCGCUCUCCCCUUCUCUCUCCCUAUUUUCUAGAUUACAACUAGAACUAACUAGAACUAGAACUAGAAGAACUAGAACUAGAACUAGAUGAACUAGAGGGAUCCUCUCUACUUGGAUGAAGAAUUGAAACCCUAGCUUUGAUUCUGUAGAAGAGGUAUGAUCUCCAGGGGCCAGGCGGCCUUGCUUAUAUAGUCUUUUCAGAUGAAUCUAGGCCGUCAGAUCAAAUCGACAUUAAUCACAUGGUUUUCCUUGAUCCUUUAGGUCGGUGGAGCGUGAUCCACGAAACGGGUCCGGAUUGGACACUGUAGCUGGGCGGGCACCCUAGGGAGUAGGGCGGGCGCCCUGUCCCUGAGCCUUCUCAGUUUCCCGUUCGUUCCCGUGGCUUCUGGAGUCUUCUAGAUGAUAGAAAGUUGCACGGCACAUUAAUAUCUCUAUGUAAACCCGACGUGUGGGCCUUUCCUCCGUAUUUCCUGAUAACCCCCUGCAGAAAUAGACAAACACCAAAACUCGUGGAAUUCUGUGAGAUAAAACCAUAAGUCAGGGUGUUGGUUGCAUUUGGAUCCUUUUCCAUGAUCAGCUGACGGUUAAAUGUGAGCUUUAAGGACCGUCAACAAGCUCCCCCAAGCUUAACCUUUGCUCGUCCCUGAGCAAAGAUGAACUCAAGAGUUUCUGCAGUGGUUUCAUGCCUUAAAGGUACACAUGUGUUCAAACAAGAUCUCAUCUCUGGGUUAGGGUAACUGUUAAGAUUUAAACUUACUCAUAUUACCUUCCACCAUCGGGCUUGCAACCGUCACUUGUGCCUUGAGCAGUUAAAAGAUAGAACGGUUUAGUCAAGGGCCAUGUCUCUUAUUCUUGAUCAACUAUAGCUCUGGAGUUUUUGCAGAUUUUCAAAUAAAACUCAGAGAUUCCUUGUAUGACUCUCUCUAGUCUCUCUUUUGUGGUAUUUUUGGAUACUUACCAAGGAAGUAAUGGUGUAUGCCUUCUCUCAAAGUAUGUGGUUUUUUUGGUAUGAGGCAUAGUGACAUUGCCUUCUCUCUCACCCUACUCUAAUAAGGUUUUGAUAUCUGGAGCUCAUAGGUGGGAGACAACUAAUACAUACUUACAAGACAUUUAUUGCAUAGUCAAACCAUGGAUCCAGAAGAACAAGUCAAUAAGUCAAAUCAAGAUGUGCAUGUGUGGCGAAUGAAUGGUGUAUGGUGAUGAUGGUGAUAAUGGUGAACACAUCUUUCUUGCUCUUUUGAAACUUUUGAGGAGAAUGAGAUGCUCUAUAUUUUCUUUUUAUUUUCUCUCAAGUGGGUAUCUUGUACCCCUAAUUCUAAUGUCGGACACUUGUCCAUUUUUACCUCUCGUCUCACUUUUUCUUUUCUUUCGAGGUUCCGGGCACUUGCCCCUUUUUAUUUCCUCAUAUCUUCAUUUUUUUCAGAGCACUCAUCUCCUGAAUAGUAUAGCAACUGGUAGUAACCAAGAUAACUUGAGCAUUUAUUUCACAGGGGAAAACAGAAAUUGGAGAUUGUUUUUGGCUAUUCUCUCCCGGAUUAGGAGUAGAAUAUUUUUGGGUGGUUCUAACGAUGGAAAUGGGUGGACAUAUGUGGAUGCGUACUUCCGGAGUAGAAGCAGCAUGUGUGAGUGAACGUGCAAGUGAAUCUUGAUUUAACCACAUGACAAGCUCCUAAGGAUCUACACAACUUGACCACACUCAAUGCUCAUAAGCAGUAAAAAGUAAAUGAAUGGUUCAUAGUCUAAUAAGCAUGUAUAUAUGGUUGUGGUAGGAUUUUAAACUCUCAUCAUACAGGAACUCAUCAUGUGAUAUUUUAAAGAUUUUCAAAGAUAAAAUUCUCCAGAAUUCUAGCAUCUCUAGGAACAGAUAAACGGUAGCUCAACCUUCCCAUAUCAUAUCCGUUAACAACUUAGAC